CCUGUGCUCUCUUGAUCUCUCUCAAGUAAAUAAAUAAAAUCUUUUAAAAAAAAUAAUUCUGUGAACGGGCCUUUCCCGCAGGCCCGGCUGUUCUCCACGAGCCGGGCUACAGGGCUGUGCCAGCCGCGCACCUGCUCGGCCGCAGUGAUUGAUAGCAGACCGAUCGUGGACAAGGGACUGAUUCUGUAGUAGCUUUCCGUGGCGGUGCGUUUUCUGAAAACCCGAAGACCACUGCCGUGAUGAGGGCGCCGCCGCAAACCCUGACCGGUCAUGGGGUUCUCACGCUCCACACUUGGGAGCCACAUUCGUGUGGUUCUGCCCCAGGAUGGAAGGUGGGGGGUGAGCCCAGGCCCCCUUCUUGCAAGAUGAACGCGCUUGUCAUGGCGCCUCGCAGGCAGGGCCUUGUUACGGGUGGGUCAGCCUCAGGCUUCUGUGUGGCUCGCUUCGGUGCAGCCCCUGUGUGCCCCCUGCGUCCCCACACAGCCGCCCUGCUCCCUCUCAGGCCCAGGCCUCUCUAUUGCCCGCAGGAGGGUGAUCCUGAAUUCAGGGGAAGGGAAGAACGGCGGGCGGGGAAAGGCAUGGCCGGCUCCUUCCCUCUGCUGCAGGACGGGCAGGAUGGCCCUCGCGCUCUGGGCUAGUGGCUCUACCCCGGAGUGGACAUGCAGGCAGGUGAGCUCUCCGUGGUCAGGACUCGUGUGAACAGCACAGUCUGUGGACUGGCUGGCCGUCUGCGUCUCAGCCUGCCACGAGGUCGCCCGGACUGCUGGCUUGGCGGGGUGCACACAGUCCGGGGACAGGGUGCUGACCGCGUGGCUUGGACCACAGUGCACAUUUGGGAGAGCAGCGCGCCCAGCCCUUGAGGUCUGCAGGACAGGAGGGUUCAAGGUCACUGGGUAGGCUUUUUUUUUUUUUUGCAUCGCAGUGACCUCCUUCCAGCGCCCCAGGGGCGGUGGGCUGUGUGAUCGGUCCCCUCCAACCGUGACCCGUGGCAGUGGUGCUGAGAUGCGUGUAACCAGCAAAUGUCACAACAGUCUCUUUCUUCACUGCGUCCUGGCAUUUGAGGCAGGGGCUGUUUUGUAGGGAUUUUCAGUUUAUGUUUUAUCCUUGAUUUCUGCUGAGUUGUAUGUAUAUAUGAUAGCGGGAUCCGUAUUUAUAUCGUAGCGGAGAGGUUGUAAAUGUGUGCAUACUCUGGGAGACAGGCGGCAGAGAAUAAAGCCCCCCUUCAGCCAGCAGCUCUGGGCUGGCUUCUUGCUGUGUCUCAGCCCACGUCCCUACUGCGCGGUAAGGCGGCGUUCCUCGCUUGUCUGCUCAGAGGUGAGGCCGGCAGUCCCUCGUAAUGUCUUUGAUGGGACAUCUCCAAGCCCCUCAGCCAACCUGAGAAGACAGAAACCUCUCAUUCUCCCCGGCCUUGGCACCUGUGGGACAGAGACCCUGUCCCGAACCCGUGUGGAAACGCUCUCUUGUCAUUACCUGGCUCCUGAGUGGGUCCCUCCAGGGGUUUGUUACUGCCCUAGAGAAAACAGCCUGACAGAGGCCGGUCCGUCCAGCUCCAAGGCCCCCCUUUCCAGUUUCGUCCAUCAUGGGACCUAGAGCAUUCGGCGUUCUCACCCCAGCUGCUAUGUUCUUCACUCGCCGCGUCCCCUGUGGACACGGAACCCUGAGCCAGUCUUGCGCAGGCCUCCUGGCCUCACAGAGAAUGCUUGACCAACAACCAGGAGGCCUUCCUGCUCGGUACCCAGCCCACGUGCCCUGCUGGGCACAGGAGGUCCUUCAGACACCCUCCUGCAUGUAUGACCGUGCGCUGUCCUGCUCCACGGUCCCAGCCUGGUGGGCCGCUCGCUGGCCUGAGGAGCAGCGGGCAGGUAGAGCUGCGGGCCAGCAGACCUCUGACAGCAGCCCCGCCCCCCGGGAGCAGGGCUGGAAGUCGGGAGGCCAUUUCGGGUGGGGGCCAGCUGUUGUCACGAGGCCUUGUGUCUUCUCACUGGCAGGAGCGUGGGGCAGGGCCCCCACUUGAGUCUUGGCAAGGCAGGCUUUCGGCCGCCCUGCUCCCGCGCUGCAGACUUGCAGGGGUGGCAGGAGGGUGGAGGGUGCCUGGUUCUCUGUCCUCCCUUUUGGAGUUCAGGAGCUCUCCCCAGGGGGUCAGAGCUGGGAAAUCAUCGAAAACACGGGUGUCCUGCUUUCUGAUGUGUGCUGCUGACGGGUCAGCUGGCUCAGGUCGGAAGAGGGACCCUGUGCUCUGAGGAAACCUCCCCGGGAAGCAUGGAAGUGGCCCUCCGUCCAUCAGGCCCCCGGAAGGGUAGGCGAGGUGGCCGAGGAGCCAGUGACUGGUUGAGAUGUAGGCAGGGACUGGCCCACCCCGGGUGACCCUUGCUGCGGGUGGCUGGACAGGGGACCGUGGCUCAGGCCCUGAGGGCGAGGCCUUCCCUCAUCUCGGGAGCCUCAGGUGUUCACGCAUCCUGCACCAGAGAAAGCUCAGCAUCGCGUCUAAGACAGGCGGCGUCCUCGGCGGUAAGCGGCUUCUGCACCGCGAGCUCGUGGCGCAGGACGGCGAAGCGGUUCCCCGGCAGCCCGGCGGCUUUGAUCCGCAGUGCGAGACUCUGUUUUACUGGAAUACUGAUUUUAUUAUGAAUAAUUGCUGGCGUAGUGUGUUUUUAAACCAUUCGCAUGUGCCACCCCACACGGCGGUACUUGGUGUUUGUGCUGCAAAUGUCGUAAGACUGACAGCUCUUGCAGCGGGCGCGGUGGGGAGGGUGGGGGGCGGCCGGGUUCUCAGUGAAGCGUGGCGGGAUCGGAUCUGGGAUCUCGGAAACAUCCGACUAACCAGAUUCACUUCCUGCGGGAGCUCCGGACACGCCCGCUACUGCCCUGCGUGCUUCUUCGUGGUUCUCUGGACACCCCUGCAGGGAUGGGAUGAGGCCGGGCCAGAUUUCUUGGAGAAGGUCCGUGGGUUUGGAUGUUCUUGCUGCCUGGCUGUCUUGAAGUUCUCCCUCUGUUCCUGGAGCUGCCCAGGACCUGGAGUGAGGGCGAGGCGUUGAUGAGAUCCAGGUUAAACCCUUUUGACAGGAUUACCCCCUGUCCUGUCGUGUCACAUCUGGCCCUGCUGUUCCUGCUGUUCAGGAGUUAACGUCUGGAAGGUCCAUUUCCUCCCACUUGGUGGUUGCUAAGUGAUCUGUGGGCUGUUGCUUGGGUACCAGGGAAGUCAGCGCUGCCAGGGACCCUCCCCUUGCUGGGGGGCGGGGGUCUGCAUGCAUCAGCAGUCGGUGCCCGUGAAGGGGGAUUGGGGUGGCCACGUGCUGAUUUUCUCAGGUGCGCGUUCCCUCUGUGAGUCCUAGCUGAUGCCCUUCCUGCGCCACGAGCUUCGUCCCAGCUCACUCAUCCUUUCGUAUCCUCGCUCUGGUCUCACGGUUUUUUGUUGUUGUUGUUGCUCAGAUGUUCUCAUAUGACCCAUUACAAUAUUAACAGAUUUAAUUACAUUUCUGUGGAAUAGAGUAGGAAAAUUUGCUUGCCAUGUACAUAUGCUAGUUAAAUGCUUAAGAUGCCUGUGAUCGAGUUUCUGCAAACUGUGAGGAGGAAGAUGUUUUAAAUUCCAGAGGGAAACGGGCAGAGCAGAGGACCAGAAAGAUAGUUCAGAGAAGAGGAAGUGCACGUUGUUGGUGAUCGUGAAAAGAUGCUUAAUAUUAACCUCAGGAGUAAUCAGGGACUCCCAUCAGAAGAACAAGUCCUGGGCUCCCCUGUCCUGUGGCAGGAGGCAAACACACAAGUUUCGAAGCUGGUGUGAGGGCUGGUGUAGGCCUGCCCCCCGCCCCCGGGCUGCUGUGACGGGUUGGGGGGGGCGAAGGAGAAGCCCUUGGACGCUAUCUAUUAACACACAAAAUUUAUCUGUCUCUGAACCCAGCUGUUCUACUUUUUCCCCUUACAAAGAAGCAGCUAAUGGUGGUUUAAAAAAAAAAAAAAAGCCACCAGAAUGCCCUUGAGUCGGGGAAUGGUGGGAUGAGAUUGGCGUGUAUGCACGGUGGAACAUUCUGGAGAUGGCCAGUCAGGGUGAAUGAGAACAUUGCCAGGCCGGGGGCACAGAGGUAAACGUGUGGGGAGCGGAUGGUGCGUUUUGGUGCAGUGCUGGAGGCUGAGUUCUGUUCCGGGGGGUGGAGGGGAGACUGGACAUUCAUUCUGGAAACUUCCGCCCAUGGGGAAGUGCCAGGGGACCAAAAGCCGUUCCUUGAGGGUGUUGUGAAAGUGGUUUUAUAUUCCAAAACAACAUUUUAAAAAGACGGAACGUGAACAUUUAUUACAUGUACUAGUUCUACCCACUUUCCUAUCUUGUGUCUCACCCAGAGUGGGAAGGCUCUCGCGAGUCCUUGAUAGAGUGCGGGGACCCCAGAGCAGCUGCAGAUGUGGGGGCUGGGCGCUGGGCAGAGCGAGGGUUUGAGGGGUGAGCUGCACGUGUCCUUUCUGCGGGAGGCCCUCACCCCCAGGUGGGACAGCGCUCUGCUGCUGCCAUUUCGUUUCCUUUUUACAGAAAUCAUGUACUCCCUGUACACGUCGUAGACAACACAGUAAAUGCAAGAGACAGUUUGCAGAAAAACAGAAGUGGAAAAAAAAAUCUCUGUUGUUCCUAAACACCCCAAGUCAGCCAUUAUCCUUCUUUGGAUGUGUUCCUUGCACAUGGGCCCGUGGUCCAUACAGUCUUGCUU